ensembl:lncRNA
UUGCUAGAAUAAUUGUUUUGUACACUGUAAUGGAUAAUAAGAUACAGGUACAAGGUACAACUUUACAUCGAUUUCUUCUUUUUCAGUCAUUGUCCCCAUAAUUAUUUAAGAACUGAAAAGUGAUAACUAUUAUCUCAUAAUUAUGACAUAACUUUUUAAAUAAUUUUGUUUUAUUUUUUAAUCUCAUAAUUAUUACAUAGUAUCUCAAAAUCAACAUUUAUGUGAUAAUUAUGUAUUUGUGUAUUUAUUUAUUUUUCUUAUGUGGUAGAAAUGGGCUUCUCUAGUGACAUGAUCAUCAUAUUCAUUUAUUUUGUGUAGUAUCACCUGCAGGUUCACUGAUCAAGUGUGUGAGAGUCGGUGUGUUUUCAGGGGUGUUUGUGUGAUUUAUUCUCCUGCAGGGCUCCGGAGGGCGGCCGCUGCCUCUCAGUAGAUGUCCUUGCCAGAACGCCAUUGACAGGAUGACAGAAGAGCUGGAAUAUGCUGAUAAAACUCUAGACGUCCAGGGAGGAUGUCCAUCAAAUGCUGAGCGCAGUUGUCAGUCGGAGCCGGAAUAGUGUUGGUUCAUCGAACACCAAAACAAAAGAAGCAUGGUGCUACUAUAGUUUUGUUGAGGAAAAUGACAUAUUUCUGGCUGGAGAUGCUGAUCCUCAGACCCGUGAAUAGGCUCACCAUAGAGCUGCAGUGUUUGACCAGUUCAUGCACUAACCAUAUAACUGUGCAUCUUUAACAAAAUAAAAAGACAGACCAAAAGCACUCACUGACUCCAUCAUGUUUCCAGUUGGCUCUGUUGGGAACAGCCCUUGGUAAUACUGUGUUUUUGGCCAUGAACCAUGUGUUUUGGAUAUUGCCAUAGUUAAUUCCAUGGUGUUUAUAUAUUAUAUGGUAUAUUUCUGUAUUAUUUUAAUAAUUCAGUACCAUGAUAUUGUCCAGGCCAGUGGUCCAGCGCCC